ensembl:lncRNA
GUUGGAGGAGGAGCUGACGUCCCCCUCCAUCACUGCUGCUGCUGUUGGGCGGGGCUCCUCUCUCCCAGUGCCAGCGCAGCACGGGCGGUCUGGACGGGCAGAAGGAGCCCACCGUACAGUUCAGGGAGACGGGCUGUCCCUCGGUGACGGAAACCGGCCCGCUGAUGACGGGGGACUCAGGGUGUUCUGUUGAAGGGGGGAGACAAGCUUUGUUUACACUGAAGUUAAAAAAAGGAAUGCCUUCAUGUGAUUAAAAACGUGUUCAUGUUUGAAUGUGAUUGGUAUUAAUGUCGUCUAGAGUGUAAACAAUGUAAAAUGGAUAAAGGGUUUUGUAUUUGCUGUCUUUCUAGGGCUAAGGCGGGCCUCACAGGGUCCUUUUAUCUCCACUAUCCUGCUCCGAUUUCUCUGCUGCUGCCGUUAUUUGGAUGACUUAACAUCCAUCCAACAGGAAGCAAGCUGUUCAUAUAGGAGGUUCUCUAUCAGCGACAUUCAAGGUGGACACUGGAGCUCCCAUAGGAUCCGUUCUGGGCCGGCUCCUUUUUAGCUUACAUACAAAUGACCUCCCAUCUGCAUGCCCACCUGGGUACUCUGGGACAUUCAGCCUUCUCCUUCGUAGCCGGCAGGCCUGGAACACUUCCUAAAAAAAUAGACCUCCAGGGUGAAGGCCCUCGGGUUCCCCCAGUACCCCUCCUCCGGGCCCUUCAAGGCAACCUCAAAGGCCCGUGAGUCCUGCAGGCGGACCGGCUCCAGUCUCAGCGAACAGUCCCCCUCUGAGAUCCGCCCGUGGAGGGAGGUCCGUCUGAGGUACUCCCCGGCCACGUGACGGGGGUCCUCGCUGUUGAAGGCGGUGCUCCUCGAAGGGAAACGGCGUCCUCCUGUGAACUUCAGCCGGACCUCCACCCGGCCCCCGCCCCUCCUGAGGGGAGCAGCCAGGGGGUGAAGGAGCAGGGGACCACCACACAGGACCCGGCCAGCGCCUGGACUCGACCGGGGACGGACGGGACAGGGGAGGAGCCCCCCGCCGCCGUCCAGGAGAGAGCACCCGCUGGGGGGGAGAGAAGGACAACAUGUCUCCUUUUGUCUCCGUUACUUUGAAGUGCCAGUAAACCCAAAGAACAUCUUAGUGUGUGUUAUUUGACGUUCAACUAAAUCUACGCGAUGUUGUCGCUGUUAUAAAAUGAUAGCGAAAUUCAGGACUGUCGCAGAACCCGUUGUUUUUGCUGGUCCCCGCCAACCAGUUUGUGGAACGUUCUACUCUGCUCCCAGCUCAAGUCCGGUUCUUUUCAUGAUUGCGUCAGGACGAAGGUUCACCGACUACGAGCGUCCUCCUCUGAACACACACUGCGCUAGUGCCUCAGUGUGUGUUGAUGUGUGGAGCUCCAUCCAUCCAGGCAGCAGUUGAUGUUGAUGGCUGUGUCUCGAAAACGUAUAGUAUAACGCCACGGUGUUGGGGCGCAUGUGAUGUCUAGGUCUACAACAUCGCUCAGACCUAGACAACACUCAGGCUACAAGCUUCAAUAUCUCCCCACUCCUUCCUAGAAUUCUUAACUCCAACCUCAGAACUCUCAGCGAUUAGAAAACACACAAAACAUCAGAUGAAGGAUCCGGGGCCGGGAGGAGUGCAGUGGAGGCUUUGUGGGCCGAUAUGAAAUAAAAGUAAAAGAAUUUGGUUUUUAAGUAUUUUGUUUGUCUGAAAAUUAAAUGGCAUCGAGCUGCAAUGCACUAAGCUAAGAAAAAAAACUUCAAGUCAUCAUAACAAAAAAUACAUAUGGCGUAACUGAGGGAUUGUUCCCAUUC